rnacentral:ncRNA from 1 species
UAACUAUUAUCGAAAGAUAAUACUGAACAUACAGAAGUCAGCAGAGGCCAUAGUAGUCGAGAGAUGAAGGGC